CCCCAGCUCUGUUCCCUGCCCUGGACACGCUCCAGCCCCUCCAGGUCUCUCUUUUUGGGAGAGGCCCAGAGCUGUCCCACACUGGAGGUGUCCCAGCAGUGCCACCUCAGGGGACGGGCACUGCCCUGGGCCUGUGCCCACGCUGCUGUACUGACCACAUGAGACAAAUGUGCAUAAAAAGGAAUUGAAACUGCAAAACAUGGAAAGGAGACAGACACUAGUGAAAUUCCAAUGUGGGAAUGACAAUAUUACUUCAAAUUUGCUAUAGUAUAAGUUGCCUGAUUUUUCUAGAACUGAAACAACUAUCAGUCAGACAAAAGAUGAACCAAUUAAAUACUUGUGAGUGGUGAGUACACAUUUAUGCAGCAGGGAAACGCUCAGCUCCUCAGUGCAGCCCUGCCAGGGACUCCUUUGGCUCGCUGCACAUGCUGGGUAUCAAGCCUGGGGUUAUAAAUAUCUCUAAUGGACUUAGCAACAGGUACCUACAAUCCUCUCAGAGCCAGGAGUUUGCUUUCCUAGCCCUGGAUCCAGUUGGUGGGAGAGUUUUUAUUGAAUUACAGUCGUGGUUCUUUCCCGAACCAGGCUACAAAACGCAGUCAAAAUAAUCAAGUCUAAACAUGUAGGAGAAUUUCCUUCCUCAGACCUGUGGGGUUUGGAUUUCCCCAGCACGUGCCACCCCUUGGUUGACCAAGGACCUGAGGCCGGGCUGGCACUGCCACCUCCACUGGCUCAGGAAAACCAGCUCCCAAAACCCCUUCUCUCUUCAGUUACUUCUACACUUAGAGUGAACCCAGAAAGAGUGGGGGGAAAAAGGGAAAAAACCUUGUUCUUCAAGAGAGAAUUACAUGGCAAAGAAGGACCAAAAGGAAUAUCCACUCAAUAAUUUGUGGGACAGGAAAAUAAAAUGUAGGAGCUCUUAAAAAGCAUCAGCUGAAGGAGCUAUGGCUGUAAUAAAUUCCAUUUUCCUGAGUCCAGACACUCCAAGUGUCAGGCUCCCUACCUUGAUAAUACUGUUGUUAUUCCAUGGCCCAGGUACACUGUACUUACAGGAAAGAAAUUCCUGUGAAUGACUCAUAUUUCACACUGAGAGCACACCUCCAAGGAAUCUGCACUUAGGGAUGCUUUAUUUCCCACCACAUAUGACACUGCUGUUUUCUCUACUUUCCCCCAAACUAUUAAAAGGAAAAUUAGGUGAGGCACAUCUAAUUACAGGGUUUAGGGCUUUCUGAUACAGGGAAAGGUUGAAGAUGGUAAAAGAACAAUGGUGAAGAACAAUAGGAAGAGAUUAGUGACAAGAAAAUUCAAAACUCUGGUGUUGAACAAUUUCUCCAUUCAGUUUGGCACUCAGGAAUAACACUGAACUGCCACCACAGAAAUCAAUCUGUCCCAAGCCUCCACACCACAGCAGCUCCAGAGCAUUCAGACAACUGGAACAUGUCCGGAGUGUGACUUUGGUGACAGCAACCCAGGAGACAAGUCACGCCAGAGGUGUUUUGUCAGCACGUUUCAAGGCUGCGAUGUGACCCAGAUUUCAGGGUGAGAAGCAGCCCAAGGAGGAGGUGUGCUCCAGAGCUGGCUGGGAUCCAUCCCCACGGUGCUGGGAUGCUUUCAGGAAAGCCAGAGCCCGAGCUGGGGACAGCCCUGAGCCCCACGGGAAGGAGGGACAGGCGGGCAGGGCUGUGGGCACACAGCAGCCAUGGCCCCCAAAGCCAAGGGCAAGGAUGGGCAGAAAAGUACAGCCAUUUCAUGUCACUCCAGCAGAUGUAUUUCAUAUUUUCCAGUGUGCUGCUCUACUUGUCACUCUUCUCCAAUCUUUAGGCAUGUUUUUCUGCCACUGCAGAACUGAGAGAGCAAUAA